rnacentral:rRNA from 1 species
AUGGCAAUGCGGAGGCUGCUUCAGGGGGUCGUUCUGCCGCGGACGACGGGCCGGUGUGUUGGGGCGUCCUCCUUCUCCACGUCCACGGAGGCCAUCCGUGCAACCCUCUUCCCCGGCGAUGGCAUCGGGCCGGAGAUCGCCGAGUCGGUGAAGCAGGUGAUCAAUGUUGCAGGCGUGCCAAUUGAAUGGGAAGAGCAUUACGUUGGCACGGAGGUUGAUCCCAGAACACAGAGCUUCUUGACAUGGGAAAGCCUGGAGUCCGUGCGCAGGAACAAGGUUGGCUUGAAAGGCCCCAUGGCCACGCCCAUCGGAAAAGGCCACCGCUCUCUGAAUCUCACGCUGAGGAAGGAGCUCGGGCUCUACGCCAAUGUCAGACCUUGCAACAGCCUCCCGGGCUACAAGACCAGAUAUGAUGAUGUGAACCUGGUAACGAUCCGUGAAAACACUGAAGGGGAGUACAGCGGCCUCGAGCAUCAGGUCGUGAAGGGCGUCGUGGAGAGCCUGAAGAUCAUCACCCGCCAGGCGAGCCUGAGGGUCGCGGAGUACGCCUUCCACUACGCCAAGGCCAACGGCAGGGAGAGGGUCUCCGCCAUCCACAAGGCCAACAUCAUGAGGAAGACGGACGGGCUCUUCCUCCAGUGCUGCCGCGAGGUAGCUGCCAAGUACCCUGAGAUCAAGUACGAGGAGGUCGUCAUCGACAACUGCUGCAUGGAGCUCGUCAAGGACCCUGGCACGUACGAUGUGCUGGUGAUGCCGAACCUGUACGGCGAUAUUAUCAGCGAUCUGUCCGCCGGUUUGAUCGGAGGCCUGGGCCUGACUCCCAGCUGCAACAUUGGUGAAGGUGGCAUUUGUCUGGCGGAGGCCGUUCAUGGCUCUGCGCCUGAUAUCUCCGGCAAGAACCUCGCAAACCCUACUGCGCUUAUGCUGAGUGCUGUCAUGAUGCUGCGCCACCUGCGUUUCAACGACCAGGCAGACCGCAUCCACAAUGCCAUCCUCCGCACCAUCGCCGACGGCAAGUACAGGACCGCUGAUCUUGGUGGCAAGUCGUCGACAUCAGACUACACUAAAGCAGUUUGCGGCCAUAUCUGA